rnacentral:rRNA from 1 species
CCCUUAGAUGUUCUGGGCCGCACGCGCGCUACACUGACGAUGGCAACGAGUUUUUCCUUCGCCGAAAGGUGUGGGUAAUCUUUUGAAACAUCGUCGUGCUGGGGAUAGAUCAUUGCAAUUUUUGAUCUUGAACGAGGAAUUCCUAGUGAGCGCGAGUCAUCAGCUCGCGUUGAUUACGUCCCUGCCCUUUGUACACACCGCCCGUCGCUACUACCGAUUGAAUGGUUUAGUGAGGACUCCUGAUUGGCGCCGCCGCCCGGCAACGGAGCAGCGGACUGCCGAAAAGUUGUUCAAACUUGAUCAUUUAGAGGAAGUAAAAGUCGUAACA